GAUCCUGGCUCAGGAUGAACGCUAGCUACAGGCUUAACACAUGCAAGUCGAGGGGAAACGACAUCGAAAGCUUGCCUCCGAUGGGCGUCGACUGGCGCACGGGUGAGUAACGCGUAUCCAACCUGCCCACCACUUGGGGAUAACCUUGCGAAAGUAAGACUAAUACCCAAUGAUAUCUCUAGAAGACAUCUGAAAGAGAUUAAAGAUUCAUCGCUGAUAGAUAGGCAUGCG
rnacentral:rRNA from 1 species